rnacentral:rRNA from 1 species
ACGGAGGGGGCUAGCGUUGUUCGGAAUUACUGGGCGUAAAGCGCACGUAGGCGGCUUUGCAAGUUAGAGGUGAAAGCCCGGGGCUCAACCCCGGAAUUGCCUUUAAAACUGCAUCGCUAGAGUUGUGGAGAGGUAAGUGGAAUUCCGAGUGUAGAGGUGAAAUUCGUAGAUAUCGGGAGGAACACCAGUGGCGAAGGCGGCGAUCUGGGAAGAUACUGACGCUGAGGUGCGAAAGCGUGGGGAGCAAACAGGA